rnacentral:lncRNA from 1 species
AAAAAAUAAGAAAGACUAGCUAAGCUGUCAACAAUGAGUUACAAGAUUCCUAUCUAUAAGUCUUCUGAAGCUUGAUCUUGAGUCUUGAAUGGUUCUUUAUGCAGAAAUUAGAUUUGAACCUUGACGCUUGUUAGCUGCAGGUGCUAGCUCGUUCUUUUUCAGCUUUUCGGGCCAAGACCGAACAUGCCGUGCUUGUGACCUCAACCAUCUCUUGAGCAGCUCACAUCUUUUAUCUACUAUUCAUUUGGAUUAACUUCUUACCUUUUUCUCUUUUUUCUUUAUUGUGACUAACUUCUGUUUAUCACCUCAGACUGUUGACUCGUAUUCUUGCCACGAGCUUCUUUUGUUGCUGACUUGAAAUGUAUUCUGAAGUGAAUUCUCUUACUUUCCAGGUGGCGUCUGAUUGCCAACAUUUGAAAUGUAUUUCCUUGUUCUCCAGGUGGGUUCCUGAUUGCAAAACCUGAACUGUAUCCCCUUGUUCUCUAGGUGAGCGCCUGAUUGCCAAAACUUGAACUGUACUCCCUUGUUCUCCAGGUGGGCGCCUGAUUGCCAAAACUUGAACUGUAUUCCCUUGUUCUCUAGGUGAACGCCUAAUUGCCAAAAAUUUGAAUUGUAUUCCCUUGUUCUCCAGGUGGGCACCUGAUUGCUGAACUCGAAUUAUGUUCCCUUGUUCUCUAGGAUAGCUCCUGAUAACUUGAAUUGUGUUCCCUUGUUCUCCAGGUGGGCACCUGAUUACCAAAACUUCUAAUUGUAUUCAUUGUUCUCCAGGUGGACACCUGAUUGCCAAAAACUUCAACUGUAUUCUCUUGUUCUCCAAGUGGGCAUGUUAUUGCCAAAACUUUGAAUUGUAUUCCCUUGUUCUCCAGGUGGACGCCUGAUUGCUGAACUUGGAUUAUGUUCCCUUGUUCUCCAAGUGGGCUCCUAAUUGCCAAAACUUGAAUUGUGUUCCCUUGUUCUCUAGGUGGGCCCCUGAUUACCAAAUUUUUUUAUUGUAUUCCCUUGUUGUCCAGGUGGUGCCUGAUUGCGAAAAAACUUGAACUGUAUUCCCUUGUUCUCCAGGUAGGCAUCUGAUUGCCAACAAUUGAACUGUAUUCCCUUGUUAUCCAGGUGGGCUCUUGAUUGCCAAAAACUUGAAUUGUAUUCUCUUUUUCUCCAGGUGGGUGCCUGAUUGCCAAAACUUAAAAUUGUGUUCCCUUCAUUAUCCAAGUGGGGGCCUGAUUACCAAAAACUAGAAUUGUAUUCCCUUUUUCUCCAGGUGGAUACCUAAUUUCCAAAACUUGAGUUGUAUUCCCUUAUUCUCCAGGUGGGUGCCUGAUUGCCAAAACUUAAAACUGUGUUCCUUCAUUAUCCAAGUGGGGGCCUGAUUACCAAAAAACUAGAAUUGUAUUCCCUUUUUCUCCAGGUGGAUAACUAAUUUCAAAAACUUGAGUUGUAUUCCCUUAUUCCAGGUGGGCGCCUGAUUGCCAAGAACUUGAAAUGUAUUCCCUUGUUAUCCAAGUGGAUGCGUGACUACCAAAACUUUAAUUGUAUUCUCGUGUUCUCCAAGUGGGUUCCUGAUUUCUAGAACUUGAAACUGUAUUCCAUCAUUAUCCAGGUGGGCGCCUGAUUGCUAGAACUUGAAACUGUAUUCCCUCAUUAUACAGGUGGGCGUCUGAUUGCUAGAACUUGAAACUGUAUUCCCUCGUUAUCUAGGUGGGUGCCUGACAUUUCAACAAUGCAGACAAAACAAAAUAAAUUUUCUGUCCCAGUUUGGGAUAUGGGCACAUUUGUGAGUGUUAGUCGGGUCAUGUUACCUACAGAGCUCUAAGAAUUUGAAAGCUAAAUCCCAUUAUCCAAGAGGGCCCUGAAAUUUUCAAAUUAAAUCUCAUCUUAAUAGUGAUAACUUUAAAGCUAAAUUAUAUUUUCUAAAGGGAGAACUUAUUCUAAAACUUAAAAAUAGAUCCAUUAUCUAGGAGGGUCCUAAAAACUUAAAACUAAAUCCCAUUAUCCAGGAGGGUCCUGAAAUGUUAUAAAACUAAAUCUCAUUAUCCAGGAGGGUCUUGAGAACUUUAAAAAAAAAAUUAAAUCUCAUUAUCCAGGAGGCUUAUGAGAAUUUAAAAACUAAAUCCCAUUACCUAGCACGGUCCUAGAAAUUUUACUUGAAGUAUUUAAAUUGAAUUUUCCUGCUUACCUAUUCAUUUUAAAUUGUGAGUUUAUUCUAUGCUAGUUUAGAGAGACAUGUUCAUUUGACUUGAUUGCGUAAGUGUUAAACUGGCCUAUUUGUAGUUCGCGUAGUUUGUUUGGUUAGUAUUUUGUAUUUCUUGUCCAGAGUUAGUAUUUUUCCUAAUGUUUGGGUUGCAAUUAUGUGAUUUUUAAUUGUGACUACAGGUUGGCCUCCAGGGAGAUCCCCCUGCACUUGAUAUGUGUUGGACUGAGUGUGUGGGAUACCAACAGAUCCCUGGCACAUGAGAUUGUCAGAUUUAAGGAUACCAAGAGAUCCGCGGGAUACCAAGAGAUUCCAAGUGAAUAUAAUGAGGAUACCAAGAGAUCCUCGGGAUACCAAGAGAUCCUCGGGAUACCAAAAGAUCCCAAGUGAAUAUAAUGAGGAAACCAAGAGAUCCCUAGUGAAUAUAAUGAGGAUACCAAGAGAUCAUCGGGAUAACAAGAGAUCCCUAGUGAAUAUAAUGAGGAUACCAAGAGAUCCCUAGUGAAUAUAAUGAGGAUACUUGGAGAUCCUCCGGAUACCAAGAGAUCCCUAGUGAAAAUAAUGCGGAUACCAAGAGAUCCUCAGGAUACCAAGAGAUUCCUAGUGAACAUAGUGAGGAUACCAAGAGAUCCCUAGUGAAUAUAAUGAGGAUACCUAGAGAUCCCCAGUUAUUAUUUCUUGUUGUGAGUAGUUUUCCUUGUAUUGCUUUGUUCCGUUUCCCUAUUGCUGGUUCCCUUAUUCAUACUAUUUAGAUUCUCGCUGUAGACUUUAUCUAUGCUGUUUUUUUCUUUAUCUUACCAUAAUUUAUAUUUAUCUCAGUAAGGACUUGAACUUCCUUGUGACCACCCAACUGAGGUUAGGCUUGACACUUACUGAGUACCGCUGUGGUGUAUUCAUGCCUCUUCUACGCAUGUUUAUUUCAUGUAUAGAUCCAGGUACCUCAUCUCAAGCGCAUUAUCAUCAAGGCGGAGUGAUCUAGUGGAGACUCGAGGUAUUUCUGCAACUUCCGCAGACCGAAAGGUUUCCUUCCUUAUUCUAUAUGUAGUGUUUAGAUUCUAUCAUACUUUUGAUGUUGACAUUUUGGAUAUUAGAGCAUUUACAAUAUUUUCCAUUAGCCUGUGUUUCUCGUGAGUUUUCGGGUUUUGGGAUCGAGUUAUAGACUUCUGCAUUUAUUUUUGGGUUGUAUAUGACAAGUGGAACUUAUAUACCGUUUCUCCUCUAGUUUUUGUUUAAAUUAAUAAAAUGUUUCAGCCAGUUAUAUUAAUUUCCGCCUUGUUAGGGUUACCCAGUUGUAGGAUCUAGGUGCCAUCACGACAUGUUUAUGGAGGGUGAACUGGGGUCGUGACAAGUUGGUAUCAGAGCUCUAGGUUCAUAGGAGUCAUGAAACAAUGGCUGGUUUAUUAGAGUCUCGCUGAUUGGUAUAGAAACGUCUUUACUUAUCUACGAGAGACUAUCUAACCGUUUAGGAAAAAUCUUCUUCAUUGAUUUCCUUGUCGUGCGAUAUUUUGACGUCAAAUCUAAACUUCUAUCUUCUAUUUUCUCACAGAUGGUGAGGACACACAUUACUCGUGAUGAUCAGGCACCCGUGCCCCUACCGUAGUCUUCCGAGGCUGGGGUCGGGGUAGAGGUCGAGGACGCGCACGUGGUGCAGCCAGAGCACCUGUGCGAGCUACCACCGAGGCACUACCAGCAGAUCCAGCCAAAGCCCAGGAAACUAGCACACCUAGUACUUCCACAACUAGGCCAGCCCUUCAGGAGACAUUAGCUCAGUUCAUGUCCAUGUACACCAUCUUGGCUUAGGUAGGGUUGUUUCCCCUUGGUGCAGCCAUAUCCCAGGCUAGGGGAGGAGCAUAGAGUCCUGCUGUAUGCACUCCUGAGCAGUGAGUGCAGGUUGAGUAGGCCCCAGGGAUCAUUCCGAUUCUGCCUACAGUGCCACUUCAUCACGUUGAUGUGGCAGCUGCUUCUCAGGAUGAGCAGCGGAGGUUGGAGAAGUUCAAGAAGUAUAAUCCUCUAGUUUUCAUUGGAUUAGCGACAGAUGAUGCCUUGGGAUUUCUAGAGGAGUGCCACCGCAUUCUUCACACUAUGGCGCACUUAUGACAUAGACAGUCCAGUCGAGGGUGCUUCACUGACUUGGACCCAGUUCUCGGAUAUAUUUAUGAGAGUGUUUGUUCCCAGAGUCUCAAGGACGCAUUCCGCACAGAGUUUGAGCAUUUGCGCUAGGGUGCUAUGACCUUUUCGGAGUAUACUAUCCGUUAUACCAGAUUGGACCGGCAUGCACUAGUUUUGGUUGCUACAUUCCGCGAGAGAGUUCGCAGGUUCAUCAAGGGUCUUAUUGGCCCCAUCAGAUCUAGCAUGGCUCGAGAGUUGGAGAUGGACAUUCCUUAUCAGCAGGUAGUGAGCAUUGCUAGGAUGAUUGGGAGUAUGCUCGCCACAGAGCGAGGAGAAAGGGAGUCCAAGAGGUCUCGAGAGUCGGGCCACUACUCUGGUGGCCGUACAGGUUGGCAUGGUAGGGUUUUUAUGGGUCGCUCCGUUCAUUCAACUCUUCCAGCAGCCAACAGUGCUCCAGCUCUGCCUGUACCCCAGGAGCCUUACUAUGUACCUCCAAUUUCUAGCGCACCUCCUGCUGGGGUGUUUCCAGAGGUCAAUCCAGCAGACCUAGCCCUAGUGAAUCACAGCCAGCGCGCCCUCCCAUAGCUUGUUUCAAGUGUGGCGACAUCCACCAUAUGGUAAGGGAUUGCCCUAGACUUUGGAGGAGUGGAGAGUUCUCAUGCCAUGAUCAUAGCUCCAGCUGCCGCCCCACCCGCUCAGCCAGCUAGAGGUGGAGGCCGGGGAGGUAGAGGUCGCUCCCAAGGGGGAGGCCAGGCCAGAUAUUAUGCCCUUACUGCUCGUGCCGAGGCUAUUGCCCCCAAUUCUGUUAUCACAGGUAUUAUACUGGUUUGUCACAAAGAGGUAUCACUUAUAUUCAAUCCAGGCACUACUCAUUCUUAUGUGUCUUCUUUCUUUGCUCCGCAUUUGGGUGUACCUCGGGAUUCUUUGAGUGCCCCCGGCUAUGUUUCUACUCCAUUGGGGGAUUCUCUUGUUGUAGACCGCGUCUGUCGGUCAUUUUUAUUUACUAUUCGUGGUUUUAAGACCUGAGUGGAUUUAUUGUUACUCGCUAUGGUUGAUUUUGAUAUUAUUUUGGGCAUAGACUGGUUUUUGCCCCAUUUUGCUACUCUUGAUUGCCACGCCAAGACCGUGAUACUGAAUAUGCCAGGUAUUCUGCGUGCUGAGUGGAAUGGUACUUUAGAUCACACUCCCAGUAGAGUUAUCUCUUUUCUUAAAGCUCAGCGUGUUGUUGAGAUGGGGUGUGCAACGUAUUUAGCCUGUGUGAGAGAUAUCAGUGUGGAUAUCCCUUCUGCCGACUUAGUUCCAGUAGCACAGGGUUAUCCCAAUGUGUUUUUAGCUGAUCUUACGGGCAUGCCGCCUGAUAGAGACAUUGAUUUUGGCAUUGAUCAGUUGCCGGGCACUCAGCCCAUCUCCAUUCCUCGUGCGAUUCGCGGUGGAGGUUCAGAGAGUAUAAAUACACAAGAUUUUUCAAUUAUUUUUCACUUUUCAAAAACCCAAAACCUAGGAGGCGAGUUUCUAAGCAAUACUUCUUCUUCAAAACGAUUGGUAAGGGGUUUAUAACUCAUUUUCUUCACUCCUUAACACCUUUUGACAUAAUUUCAACAUCAAAUCGAAGAUUUUAAUGGGAAAAUUUGGGUAUAUUGGGUAGGACCUAGGGUUUUGCUAAAAUUAUGGGUUAGACCUCAAUUCGAGGUCCGAUUCAAAACUAAUCACAUAAUUGUAUUCAUGAGUGGAUGGGUAACCGAAUUUUAGUUCGAACCUCGAGUUUUGACCACGUUGGCUCGAGGGGCAUUUUUUUCAUUUUACCUAAAAUUUUGUCUUAGCUGUAAAUUAAAUAGUAGAAUUAGUUGCUUGAGAUAUUAUUUACGUGAUGUAAUUGAAAUGAAUUGAUUUGGGCCAUUUGGAGUCGGAUACUCAUGGCUAAAGAGUGAUUUCAAGUUAAUUUUGGAGCCGAUUGAGGUAAAUGGCUUGUCUAGCCUUGUUUAGGGGACCUUCCCCUUCGGAUAUGAUGUUUGUUAAUUUAAUUCCUCGUACAUGAGGUGACAUGUGCAUACUUGAGCAAAUAGUUGGAAAAUCUAUUUUUACUUGAAGCAUUUAAAUUGAAUUUUCUUUUUUACCUGUUCAUUUUAAAUUGUAAGUUUGUUCUAUACUAGUUUAGAGGGGCAUGUUCAUUUGACUUGCUUGCCUAAGUGUUAAACUGCCCUAUUGGUACUCCGCGUAGUAUGUUUCGCUAGUAUUUUCUAUUUCUUGUCCUGAGUUAGUAUCUUUCCUAAUGUUUGGGUUGCUAUUGUGUGUUUUUAAAUUGGAAAUAUGGGUUGGUCUCCCGGGAGAUCCCCCUGUACUUGAUAUGUCCUGGACUGAGUGUGCGGGAUACCAAGAGAUCCCUGGCACAUGAGAUUGUAAGAUUUGAGAAUACCAAAAUAUUCUCAGGAUACCAAGAGAUACCUAGUGAAUAUAAUGAGGAUACCAAGAGAUCCCUAGUGAAUAUAAUGAGGAUACCAAGAGAUCCUCGGGAUACCAAGAGAUCCCUAGUGAAUAUAAGGAGGAUAUCAAGAGAUACCUAGUGAAUAUAAUGAGCAUACCAAGAGAUACUCGGGAUACCAAGAAAUCCCUAGUGAAUAUAAUGAGGAUACCAAGAGAUCCUCGGGAUACCAAAAGAUCCCUAGUGAACAUAGUGAGGAUACCAAGAGAUCCCUACUGAACAUAGUGAGGAUACCAAGAGAUCCCUAGUGAACAUAGUGAGGAUACCAAGAUAUCCCUAGUUAUUAUUUCCUGUUCUGAGUAGUGUUCCUUGUAUUGCUUUGUUCCGUUUUCCUAUUGCUGGUUCUCUUAUUUAUCCUGUUUAGAUUAUCGUUAUAGACUUUAUCUAUACUAUUGUUUUCUUUAUCUUACCAUAAUUUAUAUUUAUCUCAGUAGGGCUUUGACCUUCCUCGUCACUACCCAACCGAGGUUAGGCUUGGCACUUACCGUGUACCGCUGUGGUGUACUCACCCUGCACAUCGUUUUUUCAUGUGCAGAUCUAGGUACCUCAUCUAAGGCGCACUAUCAUCAAGGCAGAGAGAUCUAGUAGAGACUCGAGAUAUCUGCAGCGUCCGCAGACCGAAGAUUUUCCUUCCUUAUUCUAUCUGUAGUGUUUAGAUUUGACCAUACUUUUGAUGUAAACAUUCUGGAGAUUAUAGCAUUGACACUAUUUUCCUUUAGCUUGUGUUUCCCGUGAGUUUUCGGGUUUUGGUAUUGAGUUGUAGUCUUCCGCAUUUAUUUUUGGGUUGUAUAUGCCAAGUGGCACUUAUAUACCGUUUCUCCUCUAGUUUUUGUUUAAUUUAAUCAAAUGUUUCCACCAGUUAUAUUAAUUUUAGCGUUGUUAGGCUUACCUAGUUGUAGGGACUAGGUGAUCACGACAUGUUCAUGGAGGGUGAAUUGGGGCCGGUGACAUAAUUGUAUCUGAGCAUAGGGUUCAUAGGAGUCACGGAACACAUGCUGCUUCAUUAGACUUUUACCGAUGCCAGUUAUAUUAAUUUCCUCGUUGUUAGGCUUACCUAGUUGUAGGAACUAGGUGUCAUCACGACAUGUUUAUCGAGGGUGAACUGAGGUCGUGACAAUCUCCAUAAGAGUAAGCAAAAUCUAAUAAAGAUUGAACAUCCUCGAUAUACUCUUUGCUAUACCUUAGUAAAUCCAUCCAUUCCUUGGAUGGAACAUUUGAACUCCUAAAAAUAAAAUUUAUUAGCUUUCCAAAUAUAUAGUCAUUUAAGCAUUAAUUAUAUGGUAAGACUAAAUCAUAAAUGAAAAGAAUAAAUAUGUAAAAUCAUGUGUUGUAAAAUGAUAGGACUUUCUUACCUAGACAUGACACUUAAGCACAAGACAAAUAAAGUCCACCACAAAUCGUCCCGAACGUGACUUAUCUUUUGGAUAAAAACGGUAAAAUUAGGAUCCAUAAAACAAAGAUAGAAAGUAAGAAAAUUCUAAAUCAGGUAUUUCAUGAAGAUAAUAUAAUAGUUCUGCACACCAAAAAGUUUCAUGUGCAAUUUGGAAAGUAUGGUGACACCUAAAAGGUGUUUUGUUCGUACAAAUGUUUUAUAAUUAAAAGAAGUUAAGAUAUAAAAAUCUAACUAGCUAUUUCUGAUUUCUUUAACUCAAAAGAAGAAACUCUAGAACUAGUCAUAUUUUAAAAUUACUAAAAGGAAACUUUGAUAGAAUAAUUUACCACAUUACAUUUUGACAGAACAAUUUGCAACCAUAAAUAUCUAAGAUCUAUGAACUCUUGUACAAAAGAAAUAAUCAUUUUACAUGAAAAUUUUAGUUCAUUUCCACAAUCAAAUUACAAGGGGCAAUCACUGAAUCCUAAGAAUAUCAGCCAUUCUGCAUCUAAUAACUACCAUCCAAAUUGCUAGGAUUAAGGAAGGAAAACAUAUCAACUACUAGAAAUAAGGAUAUUAUUCAGGAACAAACAAACCCAUCUAUCAAAAAGCAUGGUUUCCAUUGGAUUGGUUGUGGAAAACAAAAUGCUAACACAGAUCACUUAUGUAUCCUAGAUCAGGCAUACUCCAAAUUAGAACUCAGAAUAUAAGUUUUACCAAAUUACUCAAACACGACUCUAACUCUUAUCCAAUAUACUUUUUAUUCAUAUGAGCUAAUAUUAACCUUCUCACAAUAAAAUCUUAAGCUUCCGAGUGAGAGAUACAAUGUUUUACAAAAUAGGUAGGUCAUAUUAUGAUUUUGGUAUUAUCAUAUUCUUAAAAAAGGUACAGGACAACUUAUUUGCUAAUACUACUUAUCUGCUUUUAAUCUCUUGCAACCUUACCCAUGUUAGCUUUUGUUCUUUUCAUGGAUCCCAUACCAUUCCCUAAUAGUUAGCUCAUUUUAUGAUUCUAGUUUUAUCAGAUGCUUAACAUAGGUACAAGACAGUAGUGUAGAAAUUAUGUUUUCUUUCUGUACAUAGUUUGAGCUUUAAAAGACUAUUGCCAGUGGUUGGUGUAUAGGGUUGAGGUGCAAUUUUAUCUUAUAACAACUAAGUUUUUAAAUGUGUUUAGCAGAAUUAUUAGAUAUACCCUAAUAUUUAUAGAUUCUACUUUAUUACAAAAGUUGAAUCUACUAGGAAACCGGUUGUUUCUAAAUUGGUCGACAAAUGAUCGGGCACUAACAUGGAAACUAGAAAUGCAGCACGUCACUCAUAUUAUACUAACACACUCAACUGCUGAGUAGCGUUUAUUAAUAUGCGACAGAGUUUGCAAUAUUUUGUAAUACCAGAACAAAAAAAUUUAUAAACUUAUCAAUACAACCCCUACACCUUCCUCCACUCCUCCCUCUCGUUCUCAAUAUAUCACUAAGAAAUCUCAAAUAUUCAAAAGAAUGAAUGUUGUACCAGACACUUCUGGUAUUUUGAAGCCCAAUUGACAUGAUAAAAGAACAAAUCAGCCUAAGACGUACUGUACGUCAGAUAAAUCAACAGUAAUAGGAGAAUCAAAAUACAACAAAGCUAAUUUGUAGAGUUAGGCUCCCAAAUUUGCUAGGAUUUUAAAAUAAAUUACUAAUCUUGGAGACUAGAAGAGGAAUUAUUAAUUUAUCGUUUAUUCUUUCUAGAAUAAGUAUUAAAUUAGAUAUGAAACUACAACAAUCGGAUACCAUAAGAUGGUAAAAUAUUUAAAUAGAAGAGCACCAACCUGAGAUAGAAGACUUUCCGUUUCUCUAGCUUUACAAAUUUCUUCAAUCAUGAAUGAGGAGGGCGAGAAGGUGCACAACAGUACCUAAGAUAAACUGGAAACAGGAAUUCUUCCUUUGAGACAAUAGUUUGAAAACAAAAACACUACCCAAAGUAGGGUGAGAAGGUGCAAAAUUAACAAUACCUAAUUAGCCUUCCUGGUGUAGAAAUUAACAGUAAGUUCCCAGUGCAGAGAUGAGCAGAAAUUUCCGAUCCGUUUGUCUCCACACUAGAAGCCAGAAACCCCUAACUAAUGUAUCCACAACGAUUUUAAGAAGGAGAGAGAUCUUUUUGUCCUUUCUAAAUUGAAAAAAUAAUAUUUCACCUAGAGUAUAUUGAAGGGAACAUUAUAAUUUCUGGAGAAAAUAUUAUAUUUUAGCCAAAUAUUUUGUUGGACUUUUGGAGCACAUUUAUGAAGUGUUGCUUUUCCAAUUAUAAUAAGAACACGCUUAAAGAGUGCCACAUACUCAAGUAAAUGUUGCCAAUUAUUUUAUUAUUUAGACACGUUGAAUAAGGGUGGCCUAAUAAAAUUAAAUAGCACAUUUAACAAGCGUAGACAAAUUUUUUGUAUCCAAAAGUUCCAUAUAAAGGUCACCCUAUAUUUGGGCACACUUUUCAGGCGUUGUCUAAAACUAGUGUGGUGUUAUACCAUAAGUGUUGUACUGAACCUUCAUAAUCGCCAAUAUUUUAUACUCUAGUUUGACCCGUAUUAAAAUGAGGUAUAACGUCGGCAUCUAUUGACAACUUCACUAACAAGGUCACUUCUUGAAAUAAAGAUACCUUUGAUAAUAUUUUUUUUUAAAAACGAAAUCCUUGCUAGGCUAGAAGGUAUUCAAAAAUCCCCUAGUUACAUAACUAACACCUUCUUGUCUAACCUAGAAUAUGGACAUUGAGAAGAUUUCCAAAAAUUCCUCAAGCUGGAGGAGGAAUUUUGAAAACAAAAAUUCAAAAUUUAACGGAUCCAAGAUGGCGAUGCUAAUACUAAG